GGCACUGUCUUAUGCAAAAGUUUGUACUACACUUGCCAUUUGUGUUUCCACUUGCUAAGGCUUAGAACUUCGACACGAGGUGCUCUUCUUCUCCUCUCUUCAAUGGUGAAAAUGACAACUCUACCACUCACAUCAAGAUCCUAUCAUAUCUUUAAGUCACUACAGCAAAGAGAACAGUCCUACACUACAGGACAUUGGACCACUGAAUCCUAGCAAUACUUGGGGAUCCUCCAGACACAAGCUGGAAAUUGUCCAAUCCUGUGAUGGUUUAGCCAUUGGAGGAGGGGCAGUAUAUCCACGGAUGCUGGACUGAAAAUCCCAAGGUCCCUGAAGAAGCUUCUGUGAGUCUGUGAACUUAGAAAGUAAAGGCAGAACUGAGACAUUCAGAGUGUGAGUCUUCACUAUCCUCCUUCCAAAACUGAGUUAAAACAGAGAAAAAAAAGACCACUUGGUCAUUCUGAAUGGUGAGUUCCAUGGUGAAUCCAAGGACUACAGAUUCAGGCCCCAGAUCUGUGGAGCUGUCCUGGGAGCUCACAGACUUUGGGACUGUCUUCCCAACUGAUGCCUUUGCCCUCUGAUGCUCCCAGGACAGCCCCCUGGGAAGUCACACACGCUCAGUUCACUUUUACAAUGACUCACACGACAUGACUCUCAAAGUCAUUAGAGCAUACUGUUUUAUUUCUAACUGUUAGAACACAGAUCAAGAAUGGCGUGGUGUGAGAAUUCUGAGUGCUUGUGAGAAAACUCCAAGAAAACAGGAAUCUGUGAUUUCAGUUUCUUUGAAACACAGAACUGCACUUGGAAUGUGUUUCAGUGUUCCUCCCAGAGGUAGCGAGCAGGAGUGAGUUUCCGUCAGCUUCUGCUAUACCCAUGUGCCUCUAUGGAAAAGCAUUUUUUCUGCCAUGUACAGCCUGUCCCUGUGAUUGAAUACCUUAUUCAUGUGAUUCUUCUUAACCCUCUGAAUAUAAAUUGUCUGAUAUUCUGAAUACAGUUGGCUAUUACAUAGGACUUUAGUCCACCUCAUUUCUAGGUGCCACUCUGAAGUGGAAAGUUAAGAGUUCUUUGGAAAGUCAGUAGAUGUUUUGCUGAGGCAAACACGUGAAGGAAUGUUUAGCUGAAGUGGGCACAGGAGAGAGGAUGUUCUGCUAAAGCAAGCACAUGAAAGGACACGUGAUGAAGAAUUCUUUACUAACAACACGCAUGUAUUGGUCCGCCUUACACUGCAUAGUUGAGCUUCAUUUAUCAGGGCUCCAAAGAGAGAAAUGCAUCAAAAAACUUCUGGUGGUGUGCUACGGCUUCUUGCUACUUCCUCAGACUCAGGCUGAUUGGCAAAGUGAUGGCAGCUGGGACAAGAACCACGCUGUGAGGCAAGACCUGAGGAGGACUCGUGAUAUUUGGAGGGUAUAAAGAAGACUCCACAGAGUGAUGGAGACGGAGCUUGGCUUGCUGGUACAGCUAAGUGGGCAAUACUUGUGUGUCUCGAUUCUUCGCUGAUCUUCACUUCCCUGAGAGAGGCACAGCAAAGAAAGUCUCCGGGCGUUCCUCCUGGUCCCUCCUGCUGACCGAAGCCAAGGCUGAGGCCUGGCUGUCUCUGCUAGGUAGUGUCACCUCUGCUGAUUUGUGUUUGCUAACCUGACUCUACUGAACUGGACUGCUGGUGUAGCCAUGAAGUGUUUGCAAAUGGAUCAAGCCUGCUAACCUGUGAACUGAACUGCCGAUUUUCAGACAACACAGAUAGAGGUUGCUCCAAAGAACCUUUGUAAGCAGGAUCCACCUCAGAACAUGAAGUGCUCAAAUGAUUUCCCCAGUGCAACACAAUUCAUGGGACAAUCCUACGAGUUCUCCUCUGGGCACUGCAUCUCCAUGAUGAAGAGUGAUGAUGGCUCAUAUCUGGGUUCCCUGGCCAGGAAAAUAUGCAGCCAUUAGCUGAAACUGUGAACAAGAACUCGCCAAUUCUCUCCAACCUCCUGCCAAUGACUCUGGCCUUUCUAGACAUCAUACCCCUGGAAUACUUUCCCUUCAGCACUCCAGUGGCUCAGACAACCAUCUGUGACUAACAUUCCUGAGAUGCAGCCAUUGUCAGCUUGCCUGAAGAGUUAGAGUCUAUCUUUCCAAACUGAAUGACUCUUCCCAGACGUCCUUAAGGACGCCAGCAGGUUCUUAUUUCCAUCUCUGCAGGAAAGAAUGCUCUGAAGUUGAGCUUAAAUGUCUGCUAUUAAAGAACUGAAUGUCUGCUGAAUGACGGCCAAAACGUCUAUUAUUCCUCUUAAAUAGACACUUACUAAGCAAGUGCUGGUUAUGCCUCUCAGUACCGAAUAGAUUCUCAGAAGAAAAUAAAAGAGGAUUAAGCACAUUAGGAAACAAACAGCCAUGCAUCCUGACUAAGCAGUUCAGAUCCACAGAAUAUUAAAAGGGUGCUAGAAACUGACCCCAGGACCUUAUAUAUGCUAACCACUAGCUUCCUCCCCUCAGCUCCAUCACCACUCCAGGGAGCUCCCUUUAAAGGGAAGCUGAUGGAUAGACAGUGCAGAUACCCAAUAACUGUUAUCUGAACAAACACAAAGACAGAUGGACUGAAUGGAAGAAAGGAAAUCCCAAGUCACUUUAGACCAAGCCAAUGAGACUCCAUUUAAAAAUGGCCAGUGUCACCUGACACUGCUUUAAAUGUUCUAGGGCAUAGCAUGUGUCCAGGCUGGAGACAAAACAGCUCACAAAGAAAAUACUCUUCAUGCCAAUCAAUGUGAGAGCCAAGAGAGAAAAACUGUCAAGGGCAGGUCCUUCCUUAGACGCUGAGUGCUCUCAGAGAAGGGGUGUGGGAACAGGAGUUGCAGACAGCUGCACGAAGUUUCCAACCAUAAAACGCCUCUCUUCACGUUCACGGUAUUUAUUCCACUUCCAAAAAGUUACAGAUUUCAUGGGAAACAAAUUAACAAUUGUUCAAGUACUCACUGACUCAGGUGACACAUUCCCCACAUGCUGCUCUGCUGGACCAUCUGUCUUCCCAAACACUCGGGUUUAUCAUUGCUAUUGUUAUUAUUAUUCAAAUUAAAGUAUCUUUAGACUUGAAGUUAUUAUCCUCUCCAUCAAAAGACAGUUCUCUUUUAAUCCUUACUCCAUAAGGAUAUCAAGUCCCAAGGGGCCACCUAAGACCACCGGAAAACAAGACAGAUGUAAGGAAACAUGGAUUAUGAAGUAGCAACAAAAAUAAUGUUGUGAUUGAGAAUUAAAGCAACAUGAAGAACUGUAUUAAAGUCACGGCGUUAGGAAGGUUGAGACUCAAUGCCUUAAAGUCUACUCAGAGAGUAUAACAAUCUAGAAAUGCAUGUUCCUGCUUUUUAAAGGUAGGCUACUGAAAGCUAACCUGGGGUUUGAGGAGAUAAUCAAGGUUAUUACUAAUGACUGGCAGAAGAAGGAAAGAGAAUAGACCUACUAUGCUUGCCAUGACUUGCUAUGGGAAGCUCUCUACAAUGUUAUGACACAGCAAGAGGAGCUAUACGAGAUGCAGAGGACCUGGAUUUGAGUUCCAGCAUCCACAUGGCACCUCUGGUUCCAAGAGAUCUGACACCAAUCACCUGUAACUCCGGUUCCAAGGGAUCUUGUCCCUUCCCCCCACAGCAUUUAGCUGUGACCCUCCUGGCUAGCAACCCCCACUCUUCCCCAGGAGUUAUCUCCGGCCUAUUCAAGCUGUGACAUUCCUGGCCUACAGCCUCCACCCUUCCCCUGGCGUUAUCUCCGGCCCAUGUUCCAUUUGGAACAAUACAGCCACUUUCACCUUAACUACCAAGGCCGCCUCAGCGCAGUUCCACCUGGAGACCAGCAGAAAACUGCGUGACUGGAAGCAGGCAACUGCUGAGAAGAAGAUCCGACGAAUUCGCGGCCACUGGGGGGCAGGGUGGUUUUCCAAAGACUAUAAAUAUUGGCUUAAUAAUAGUAAAGUCAGUCUCUAUGGGCAA